AUGAUUCUCUCUGUGCUGAUAUGCAUGAGAGGCUUCUUAAAGGGAAGUGAAGCAAUGUGUGAUGCCCGUCCCACCCUGACGGUGCUGCCCCCCUCCACUGAGCAGCUGCAGCAGGGGAAGGCCACGCUCAUGUGCCUGGCCAACAAGGGCUUCCCCUCAGACUGGAGUCUGGCCUGGAAGGUGGACGGCAGCAGCAGCAGCAGCAGCAGCAGCAUCAGCUGGGAGCAGAGCAGCAGCCCCGGGGUGCUGGAGAAGGACGGCCACUACAGCUGGAGCAGCACCCUGAGGCUCUCUGCAGACCAGUGGAGGAAGGUGGGCUCUGUGACCUGUGAGGCCACCCAGGGCUCCCAGACUCCGCUCUCAGAGACUCUGAGGAGAGACCAGUGUCCCCAGUCCUGAUCUGACUCACUGGUUUUACUCUGCUACUGCUCUCAGUCUGCACUCUUUCCCUGUUUCUCUCAUGAUGUUUCAACAUUAACUUGUUCUUGCUUGUGUUUUUCGUUUUAAUAUUUCCAAACAAUAAAGAAUUCCAUCGUAGAUUAUAAAAGUGACAGGUCUCUUGAAUUCCUUUCUUUUACAAGUGUUAUAUAUUAGGAGCAUGAAUCAGAUUAAAGUGCCAAAGUGACAAUCGUAAGAAGUACAUUUUUUCCAGAUACAUUUUUAAUAGUUUUAACACUGUAGACAUGGUGCAGCUAUUUCAAUGAAUAUAAAUCACAAAGCUAUCAAAUUUAAUUCAUUUAUGCUCUUGAAGAUCCAUUUGUUAAGUUAAUAUGUCAUUAAAUAAUCAUUUUUACCCAAAAUCAUCCAUCAUUAAUUUCUAAUUCUAUGUUCCCAAUAUAAAUGGUGUCCUGUUAAGAGGUAUCCAUACACAUUUUUGGACAUCCUAAAAUCCCUACAUAUUGGUGCCCCGUGUGAGGCAUUGUACAGUUGGCAAUUGUUCUGCACUUUGUAACUCUCUCUUCGUUCUUGCUUGUGUUUAUGCUUUUAACAUUUUAAAGCAAUAAAGAUUUUAUUAUGUGCAUUAUGAAAGUGUCUUUUGACUUCCUUUCUGUGACAUAUAUAAGAUAACAGUCCAGUCCAGAACUAUACACUCCACAGUACUUUUCAGUGGUUUUAAGAGUUUAUUCUUGAGUUUUUGUUUCCAUUUUUAUGUUAAUUAAUUAAAC